rnacentral:rRNA from 1 species
GGACGGGGCCCGCACAAGCGGUGGAGCAUGUGGUUUAAUCGAAGCAACGCGAAGAACCUUACCAGGUCUUGACACUCCCUGACAACCCGAGAGAUCGGGCCGUUCCCCCCGUUCGGGGGGACAGGGUGACAGGGUGGUGCAUGGUUGUCGUCAGCUCGUGUCGUGAGAUGUUGGGUUAAGUCCCGCAACGAGCGCAACCCUUGCCAUUAGUUGCUACGAAAGGGCACUCUAAUGGGACUGCCGGUGACAAACCGGAGGAAGGUGGGGAUGACGUCAAGUCCUCAUGGCCCUUAUAGGUGGGGCUACACACGUCAUACAAUGGCCGGUACAGAGGGUAGCCAACCCGCGAGGGGGAGCCAAUCCCACAAAGCCGGUCGUAGUCCGGAUCGCAGUCUGCAACUCGACUGCGUGAAGUCGGAAUCGCUAGUAGUCGCGGAUCAGCAUGUCGCGGUGAAUACGUUCCCGGGUCUU